CGAAGGGUGCAAGCGUUACUCGGAAUUACUGGGCGUAAAGCGUGCGUAGGUGGUUGCUUAAGUCUGCUGUGAAAGCCCUGGGCUCAACCUGGGAAUUGCAGUGGAUACUGGGCGACUAGAGUAAGGUAGAGGAUAGUGGAAUUUCCGGUGUAGCAGUGAAAUGCGUAGAGAUCGGAAGGAACAUCUGUGGCGAAGGCGACUAUCUGGGCCAUUACUGACACUGAGGCACGAAAGCGUGGGAGCAAACAGGAUU
rnacentral:rRNA from 1 species